rnacentral:misc_RNA from 1 species
AAGUCGUAACAAGGUUUCCGUAGGUGAACCUGCGGAAGGAUCAUUACCGAACUGUCGACACGAGCUGUUGCUGGCCUCCCGCCCGGGGGGCACGUGCACGCUCUGUCCACACAUCCACUCACCCCUGUGCACCCACUGUAGUUCUGUGGCCCUUGGGGGCUCCUGCCCCCUGGUCCGUGGUUCUACCUCUUUACACACACUCUGUAACAAAGUCUCAUGGAAUGCAUGUGGCGUUUAACGCAAUAUAAUACAACUUUCAGCAACGGAUCUCUUGGCUCUC